GAUGAACGCUGGCGGCGUGCCUAAUACAUGCAAGUCGAGCGAACAGAUGAGGAGCUUGCUCCUCUGACGUUAGCGGCGGACGGGUGAGUAACACGUGGAUAACCUACCUAUAAGACUGGGAUAACUUCGGGAAACCGGAGCUAAUACCGGAUAAUAUAUUGAACCGCAUGGUUCAAUAGUGAAAGACGGUUUUGCUGUCACUUAUAGAUGGAUCCGCGCCGCAUUAGCUAGUUGGUAAGGUAACGGCUUACCAAGGCAACGAUGCGUAGCCGACCUGAGAGGGGGGUGGGCCACAGAGGAAAGGGACAACGGUCCAAACCCCGAGGGGGGGCAGCAGAAGGGAAUUUUCCGAAAUGGGGGAAAGCCGGAAGGAGCAACGCCGGGGGGGGGAUGAAGGUCUUCGGAUCGUAAAACUCUUUUAUUGGGGAAAAAAAAAUGGGUAAGUAACUAUGCACGUUUUGACGGUACCUAAAGAGAAAGCCACGGCUAACUACGU
rnacentral:rRNA from 1 species